CCAAAGGGCGCCUCAGCUAGGGGUUAACGGCUUCACAUGAUGGAAUAUGGAAGGGAUAACAGUAGGAGAUUGCAUACUGAAAAAUUGAUUGACUCUGGAGAAGGUCUGUAAGGUCUCUUGUAGAUUUAUCUUAUUCUGUCAAGUGUCUGUAAAGUUUUAUAUUUAUAAGCUGGCCUUCAGAUAUUAGGAGGCUGAGGUGGUGCUUAUGGUUCCUCUAUUCUA
rnacentral:lncRNA from 1 species